GAGAGGAGUCCCAGCCCCAGGAUUUCCAGGUGUUCCAUUCAGUGAUCAGGACAGAAAACAGACUUACUAUGGAGUUCUUGCUUGGCUGGAUUUUCCUUGUUGCCCUUUUAAAAGGUGUCCAGUGUGAGGUGCAGCUGGUGGAGUCUGGGGGAGACCUGGUGAAGCCUGGUGGGUCCCUGAGACUCUCCUGUGCAGCCUCUGGAUUCACCUUCAGUAGCUACUGGAUGAGCUGGGUCCGCCAGGCUCCAGGGAAGGGGCUGCAGUGGGUUGGAGAAAUUAAAGAUGAUGGAAGUAGCACAUACUAUGCAGACUCUGUGAAGGGUCGAUUCACCAUCUCCAGAGACAAUGGCAAGAACACGCUUUAUCUGCAGAUGAACAGCCUGAGACUUGAGGACACGGCUGUAUAUUACUGUGCAAGAGACACAGAGGCUACAGCAGCAUCAAGCAAGAGAAUUAAGAGCCCUGGUGGGGUUCACUAUCUUGAACCAUGUUCACAGCAUGUUAAUGACAGCAUGGAAAAGCAGGAUGACCCCCACCAGGACAUG